AACGAACGCUGGCGGCGCGUCUUAGCAUGCAAGUCGAACGGCAAGAGAGGAGCUUGCUUCUCUCCUAGAGUGGCGGACUGGUGAGGAACGCGUGGGUAAUCUACCCUUAAGAUGGGGAUGCCGCUAGAAAUAGCGGGUAAUACCGAAUGACUUAUAGCUGAGAAAGAAGUGAUAAGGAAAGGAAGCUAAGGCUUCGCUUAAGGAUGAGCCUGCGUCCCAUUAGCUAGUUGGUAAGGUAACGGCCUACCAAGGCGACGAUGGGUAUCCGGCCUGAGAGGGUGAACGGACACAUUGGGACUGAGAUACGGCCCAAACUCCUACGGGAGGCAGCAGCUAAGAAUAUUCCGCAAUGGACGGAAGUCUGACGGAGCGACGCCGCGUGGAUGAAGAAGGCUGAAAAGUUGUAAAAUUCUUUUGCUGACGAAGAAUAAAGAUAAGAGGGAAUGCUUAUCAGAUGACGGUAGUCGGCGAAUAAGCCC
rnacentral:rRNA from 1 species